rnacentral:rRNA from 2 species
CUAUACAUGCAGUCGAACGAGUUCUGAUUAUUGAAAGGUGCUUGCAUCUUGAUUUAAUUUUGAACGAGUGGCGGACGGGUGAGUAACACGUGGGUAACCUGCCCUUAAGUGGGGGAUAACAUUUGGAAACAGAUGCUAAUACCGCAAAAAUCCAAGAACCGCAAGGUUCUUGGCUGAAAGAUGGCGUAAGCUAUCGCUUUUGGAUGGACCCGCGGCGUAUUAGCUAGUUGGUGAGGUAACGGCUCACCAAGGCAAUGAUACGUAGCCCAACUGAGAGGUUGAUCGGCCACAUUGGGACUGAGACACGGCCCAAACUCCUACGGGAGGCAGCAGUAGGGAAUCUUCCACAAUGGACGCAAGUCUGAUGGAGCAACGCCCCGUGAGUGAAGAAGGCUUUCGGGUCGUAAAACUCUUUUGUUGGAGAAGAAUGGUCGGCAGAGUAACUGUUGUCGGCGUGACGGUAUCCAACCAGAAAGCCACGGCUAACUACGUGCCAGCAGCCGCGGUAAUACGUAGGUGGCAAGCGUUAUCCGGAUUUAUUGGGCGUAAAGCGAGCGCAGGCGGUUUUUUAAGUCUGAAGUGAAAGCCCUCGGCUUAACCGAGGAAGUGCAUCGGAAACUGGGAAACUUGAGUGCAGAAGAGGACAGUGGAACUUCCAUGUGUAGC